AACGGCCAUACCAUGCUGAAUAUACCGGUUCUCGUUAGAUCACCGAAGUCAAGCAUCAUUGGCCAGUACUUGGGUGGGUGACCACCUGGGAACACCGCGUGCCGUU
rnacentral:rRNA from 1 species